rnacentral:rRNA from 1 species
CAGCAGCCGCGGGAAUACGUAGGGUGCAAGCGUUAAUCGGAAUUACUGGGCGUAAAGCGUGCGCAGGCGGUUUGUUAAGACAGAUGUGAAAUCCCCGGGCUCAACCUGGGAACUGCAUUUGUGACUGGCAAGCUAGAGUCUGGCAGAGGGGGGUGGAAUUCCGCGUGUAGCAGUGAAAUGCGUAGAUAUGCGGAGGAACACCGAUGGCGAAGGCAGCCCCCUGGGCCAACACUGACGCUCAUGCACGAAAGCGUGGGGAGCAAACAGGAUUAGAUACCCGUGUAGUCCCUGUCUCUUAUAA